UACAGAGGGGGCAAGCGUUGUUCGGAAUUACUGGGCGUAAAGGGCGCGUAGGCGGCCUUCUAAGUCGAACGUGAAAUCCCCGGGCUCAACCCGGGAACUGCGUCCGAUACUGGAAGGCUUGAAUCCGGGAGAGGGAUGUGGAAUUCCAGGUGUAGCGGUGAAAUGCGUAGAUAUCUGGAGGAACACCGGCGGCGAAGGCGGCCAUCUCGGACAGAUACUGACGCUGAGACGCGAAAGCGUGGGGAGCAACAGG
rnacentral:rRNA from 1 species